rnacentral:lncRNA from 1 species
AUGAGGCCUCUUUUUCAUUUUGGUUUUUUUGGAAUCUUGGUUCUCUGCGGAAACCCGUUCCCAGGGCUCGCGAGGCCACGGGUGGGUUCGGCGCCCGGGGAAAAGCGGCGGCCUGGACGCCUCUGCUCGGCUCGGUUCGGCUCGGCUCGGCUCGGCUCGGCUCGGUUCGGCUCGGCUCGGCACGGCUUGGCUCGGCGCGGCUCGGUUCUGCCUGGCGGGGGCGGGCUCGAGUCUUCUGCCGCUGUACCCAGCCUGCUCGAGUGGGCUGAAGCACAGUCGCAAGUCCAGCGCCUGCCGCUCUCGCCAGGGAUGGGGUGUGUCUGGUGGACAGCGGGCUGCAGGGAGGUGAUCCAGCUUCAAAAUUCCGCCUGAGAGCCUGACCCUGGGGCCGUUGUCAGUAUCGGCUGUCUGGGGCUGUGUCCGUGGGCUUCAAGCUGGCGUCCGAGUGCGGGAGGGUUGUUGGAGCGCUGGUGAGGACCUCUGCAGCGGAGCGCGGACGCCGGCGCUGGGAGAGACGCCGAGCUGUGAACAGUUUGCAGCAGAGCUCCGCAGCGGCCCAGACCUCGACACUCUCCUACCGACUGUCGUUAAACGUGGGGCCAACCCGGCUCAGUGAACCUGAGCGAGGAGUAGCACCCCACAGCUGGACCGAACCCCAAAGCAGUCCCCACGGGACCUUUCCAUUUUGUAACAUCAAGUCAUUUAAA